UAACCGCCUCUUCCAAACCCUAGUUCCACCUCUUCGCAUCGCAUCCCCUUCCCCUCCGCUCCCCAAAACCCUCGCCUUUUCCGUUUCUUCAAAACCCUAGCCAUGGUGAAGAAGAAGAAGGAGAAGCAGGUCAACGUCUCGGGGAAGCCGAAGCACUCGCUCGACGUGAACCGCAGCAAUGGCGGAGGCGACAAGGGAGUCCGCUCCGCGGCCACGGUGCGGCGGCUCAAGAUGUACAACACGAGGCCGAAGCGCGAUCGCAAGGGGAAGGUGUUGAAGCACGAUCUCCAAUCCAAGGAGCUCCCCAACACCCGCAUCGAGCCCGAUCGGCGCUGGUUCGGGAACACGCGAGUUGUGAACCAGAAAGAGCUUGAGUUCUUCAGGGAGGAGCUUCAGAGCCGUCUUUCAAAUAAUUACAAUGUCAUACUGAAGGAGAGGAAGCUGCCCCUGUCGCUUCUAAAUGAUCAUCAAAAGCAAGCCAAGGCGCAUCUUCUUGAUACUGAGCCUUUCGACCAUGCAUUUGGGCCGAAGAGGAAGAGGAAGCGCCCUAAGCUCUUGGCAUCUGAUUAUGAUUCUUUGGUUAAAAAAGCAGAUGUCUCUCAAGAUGCAUUUGAGCAAAAAUCUGCUGCUGCAAACCUAUCUAAGGGGGAGGAAGAGGAAGAUGGUUUACGAGACCUAGUUCGGCAUACAAUGUUCGAAAAGGGGCAGAGCAAGCGAAUAUGGGGUGAACUUUACAAAGUUGUUGAUUCUUCAGAUGUAGUUGUACAGGUUCUAGAUGCUAGAGAUCCACAAGGUACUAGAUGCCACCACUUAGAGAAGCACUUAAAGGAGCAUUGCACGCACAAACACAUGAUUCUUUUACUAAAUAAGUGUGAUCUAGUUCCUGCAUGGGUGACAAAAGGAUGGCUGCGGGUCUUAUCAAAGGAGUACCCUACUCUAGCAUUUCAUGCCAGCAUAAAUAAUUCUUUUGGCAAGGGGUCUCUUCUAUCAGUGUUGAGACAAUUUGCUCGCUUGAAGAGUGACAAGCAAGCCAUAUCUGUGGGAUUUGUUGGAUAUCCUAAUGUUGGGAAGUCGUCAGUUAUUAAUACAUUACGCUCAAAAAGUGUCUGCAAAGUGGCGCCAAUUCCAGGAGAGACUAAAGUGUGGCAGUAUAUCACUCUUACUAAAAGGAUCUUUUUAAUUGACUGCCCUGGAGUAGUCUACCAAAACAAUGACUCAGAAACAGAUAUAGUUCUUAAGGGUGUGGUACGUGUGACAAACUUGGAAGAUGCUUCUGAACAUAUUGGAGAAGUCCUGAAACGUGUAAAAAAGGAGCAUCUGCAAAGAGCAUACAAAAUUGAAGAGUGGGUUGAUGAGAAUGAUUUCCUGGUCCAGCUGUCCAAGUCCACUGGCAAACUCCUGAAGGGAGGCGAGCCGGAUCUUAUGACUGCAGCAAAGAUGGUCCUCCAUGACUGGCAAAGGGGUAAAAUUCCUUUUUUUGUCUUCCCACCGCAACAAGACGAAGAAAACCUGCCCGAGGAUUCUAAGUUAAUCGAGAAAAAUGAAGAGCCGACGAUAAGCACCGAUCGGACUGCUGCUGCCAUGAAAGCCAUUGCGGGUAUUAUCUCAUCCCAGCAGCUCAUGCAUGUUCCUGCUCACAAGGACUUCGGUGAUGAUGAGAGAGAGAAUGCAAAUCUAGAGCAGGUUGAAGAUAACGCUCAGUGAAGUCUCCAGGAUUUGCUUAUCACAAGAGUGUUUUCCCCGCGUUUUGGUUAUGAGUGUGUUUCUUCGCAUCUCAAGGAAAGGCGAGAACUAGUAUUUCUACAAGAUCCUGAGUAGAGGCAAACGACAGAGCAUGAUUCAUCGCCGAGGGCAGGUUUAAGCAAUCAAAUGAAGAGUGGUUGCGAGACAGUGGAGUUUUAUAUGGAUUCUCAGCACAAAUGGUAAUUAAGGAGUACGAGAUAAUAUUGGCACAGAAUAGAGAAAGCUCACAUCCCUACCUAUUUUUGUAUUAUUGUGUUGAGAUAAAUGGAGGCUCUUCCUGUUCCGGCGUUCGUCUGAAUCUUUCCUUGAGGCGACAAAAAGUUUAUAAUUAGAGAUUAAGGUAUCUUUUGCUCGUGCUUCGUAGUAUUUCCCCAUGGUAAAAUCAUUUUGAUCUUAUUUUGACAUUUUCUUAAUUCAAGAGUAGCCUAUUAAUUUUGACAUAAACUAGGGAAAAAAAAAAGAGAAAAAACUCUCUGAUUAAUCUCUCUAUGUUGUCGAAUUGCUAUACCCUUUUCACCUGGGAUGAUCUCCUCCGUGAGAUGUUCUUCAAUAAAACCUUUCACUGGACCUCUUAAUUAUAAAA